rnacentral:rRNA from 1 species
GAUGAACGCUGGCGGCGCGCCUAACACAUGCAAGUCGAACGGCACCCCUCCUCGGAGGGCAGCGAGUGGCGAACGGCUGAGUAACACGUGGAGAACCUGCCCCCUCCCCCGGGAUAGCCGCCCGAAAGGACGGGUAAUACCGGAUACCCCGGGGUGCCGCAUGGCACCCCGGCUAAAGCCCCGACGGGAGGGGAUGGCUCCGCGGCCCAUCAGGUAGACGGCGGGGUGACGGCCCACCGUGCCGACAACGGGUAGCCGGGUUGAGAGACCGACCGGCCAGAUUGGGACUGAGACACGGCCCAGACUCCUACGGGAGGCAGCAGUGGGGAAUCUUGCGCAAUGGGGGGAACCCUGACGCAGCGACGCCGCGUGCGGGACGGAGGCCUUCGGGUCGUAAACCGCUUUCAGCAGGGAAGAGUCAAGACUGUACCUGCAGAAGAAGCCCCGGCUAACUACGU